AUACGUUUCAUAACCGUCUUGUGU
rnacentral:siRNA from 1 species